UACGAAGGGGGCUAGCGUUGCUCGGAAUCACUGGGCGUAAAGCGCACGUAGGCGGAUUGCUAAGUCAGGGGUGAAAUCCUGGAGCUCAACUCCAGAACUGCCUUUGAUACUGGCGACCUUGAGUCCGGGAGAGGUGAGUGGAACUGCGAGUGUAGAGGUGAAAUUCGUAGAUAUCUGGAGGAACACCGGUGGCGAAGGCGGCAUCCUGGACCAACACUGACGCUGAUGAGCGAAAGCCAGGGGAGCAAACGGG
rnacentral:rRNA from 1 species